rnacentral:lncRNA from 1 species
GGGGGAUAGUCCGCAGUGGGAAUCUCCGAGACUUUACCUUCCAUGGGAAGAAGGAGUAUCUCCUCUUCCUCUUCCUCUUCCUCUUCCUCUUUCUGUAAACAAUCGUAACAAUGUGACUCAUAUAAACCCCCUAAUUUCAUGAUCACAACAACAUAAAGCUAGAAUGAAAAAGAAAACGAAAAAGAUUACAUCCAGCGGAGAUUUUGAGCCGAAGUCUCCGAAUCGGAAGGAAUCGAUACUCCAGUUUCGUCACGGUGAAGGUACUCGAGAGAAUGAGAAUGGCGGACAACUAAGAUCCCCAUAAAAAUCAAGGAAUGAACGAUAAAUGUGAGGGAUAGAAACCUCCGAAUCUCUUGAACCUCGAAGGAUUCUUCAUCGGGAUGAU